rnacentral:rRNA from 1 species
ACAGAGAAGGAGCUUGCUCCUUUGACGUUAGCGGCGGACGGGUGAGUAACACGUGGGCAACCUACCCUAUAGUUUGGGAUAACUUCCGGGAAACCGGGGCUAAUACCGAAUAAUCUAGUUCACCUCAUGGUGAACUAUUAAAAGACGGUUUCGGCUGUCGCUAUAGGAUGGGCCCGCGGCGCAUUAGCUAGUUGGUGAGGUAAUGGCUCACCAAGGCGACGAUGCGUAGCCGACCUGAGAGGGUGAUCGGCCACACUGGGACUGAGACACGGCCCAGACUCCUACGGGAGGCAGCAGUAGGGAAUCUUCCACAAUGGGCGAAAGCCUGAUGGAGCAACGCCGCGUGAGUGAAGAAGCAUUUCGGUUCGUAAAACUCUGUUGUAAGGGAAGAACAAGUACAGUAGUAACUGGCUGUACCUUGACGGUACCUUAUUAGAUAGCCACGGCUAACUACGUGCCAGCAGCGGCGGUAAUACGUAGGUGGCAAGCGUUGUCCGGAAUUAUUGGGCGUAAAGCGCGCGCAGGUGGUUUCUUAAGUCUGAUGUGAAAGCCCACGGCUCAACCGUGGAGGGUCAUUGGAAACUGGGAGACUUGAGUGCAGAAGAGGAUAGUGGAAUUCCAAGUGUAGCGGUGAAAUGCGUAGAGAUUUGGAGGAACACCAGUGGCGAAGGCGACUAUCUGGUCUGUAACUGAGACUGAGGCGCGAAAGCGUGGGGAGCAAACAGGACUAGAUACCCUGGUAGUCCACGCCGUAAACGAUGAGUGCUAAGUGUUAGGGGGUUUCCGCCCCUUAGUGCUGCAGCUAACGCAUUAAGCACUCCGCCUGGGGAGUACGGUCGCAAGACUGCAACUCAAAGGAAUUGACGGGGGCCCGCACAAGCGGUGGAGCAUGUGGUUUAAUUCGAAGCAACGCGAAGAACCUUACCAGGUCUUGACAUCCCGUUGACCACUGUAGAGAUAUAGUUUCCCCUUCGGGGGCAACGGUGACAGGUGGUGCAUGGUUGUCGUCAGCUCGUGUCGUGAGAUGUUGGGUUAAGUCCCGCAACGAGCGCAACCCUUGAUCUUAGUUGCCAUCAUUUAGUUGGGCACUCUAAGGUGACUGCCGGUGACAAACCGGAGGAAGGUGGGGAUGACGUCAAAUCAUCAUGCCCCUUAUGACCUGGGCUACACACGUGCUACAAUGGACAAUACAAANCGGUUGCCAACUCCCGAGAGGGAGCUAAUCCGAUAAAGUCGUUCUCAGUUCGGAUUGUAGGCUGCAACUCGCCUACAUGAAGCCGG